UGCCCCUUGGCAAUGGGCAAAGAGACAUCUUGUUGGUAAUGUUCUUAUUUCAGUCAGAGGCAGAGCAGAGGGAAGUCCUUUGUCCAUCCUAUCUUAAUCCUUGGCUUUGUGGCCAAAACCAUUUUAUGUCUAGGACUCAUGA